AUUCGACACAUUUCCAUCAAGACAGAGUCCAGAGAUAGUUCGUUUUAGGUAUGAUCGACUAAGGAGUGUGGCUGGGAGGAUCCAGACUGUUGUGGGUGAUGUGGCUACCCAAGGAGAGCGGGUUCAAGCGCUACUAAGCUGGAGGGAUCCUCGCGCCACAACUAUCUUCUUGAUUUUCUGUCUAGUGGUUGCCAUAGUGUUGUAUGCAACACCUUUUCAGGUGCUUGCUCUUCUUGGGGGGUUUUACUUUAUGAGGCAUCCUAGGUUUCGUCACAAGACUCCAUCAGCACC
rnacentral:lncRNA from 1 species